rnacentral:rRNA from 1 species
GUCUACGGCCAUACCACCCUGAACGCGCCCGAUCUCGUCUGAUCUCAGAAGCUAAGCAGGGUCGGGCCUGGUUAAUACUUGGAUGGGA